rnacentral:lncRNA from 1 species
AACUUGCCGGUCAUAUACCAUUGAUUCAGUGGUUUUAAAAUUUAUCCAAAAUUUAUCGAUCAGAUACUGUUUGCUACCAUUAGAAGUUGAAACAAACAUGAUUUUCUCACACCCAUGGAGUACCAUACAUUAAAAUUUUAUCAUUCACCACGAUCCAAACAAGUUGUUAGGGUUUCUUCCUUUUUUUAUGUAGAAACAAUGACUUUUAUAUAGUAGUUGAAAUUAAAUCGUAGCCUUCCAUUACAGAAUGAGAUUUGGACCGUUGAUCUCUUAUUUCCUUUUAAAAUUUUUAAGUUUUUUCUCCCAUUUUUUAUUGGGAUGAUACACACAUACUUGGAUUUGAGAUGAAAAUAUAGAAAAAUAUAUAAUUGUAAACCGUUGAACUUUUCUGGGUUUUUUUUCCCUCUUUUUUCUAUGUCAUCUGAAAAGCUAAUUUAAGCUUGACCCAAACAUUUGCUUCAAAUUGGCACCUAACAGAAAAGCCCAACACAAGUGGAUCAUAGUUUAUCCACUAUCUAUAUAAAU